rnacentral:rRNA from 1 species
AACGAACGCUGGCGGCAGGCUUAACACAUGCAAGUCGAGCGCCCCGCAAGGGGAGCGGCAGACGGGUGAGUAACGCGUGGGAAUCUACCCAUCUCUACGGAAUAACGCAUGGAAACGUGUGCUAAUACCGUAUACGUCCUUCGGGAGAAAGAUUUAUCGGAGAUGGAUGAGCCCGCGUUGGAUUAGCUAGUUGGUGGGGUAAAGGCCUACCAAGGCGACGAUCCAUAGCUGGUCUGAGAGGAUGAUCAGCCACACUGGGACUGAGACACGGCCCAGACUCCUACGGGAGGCAGCAGUGGGGAAUAUUGGACAAUGGGCGCAAGCUUGAUCCAGCCAUGCCGCGUGAGUGAUGAAGGCCCUAGGGUUGUAAAGCUCUUUCACCGGUGAAGAUAAUAACGGUAACUGGAGAAGAAGCCCCGGCUAACUUCGUGCCAGCCGCCGCGGUAACAC